rnacentral:rRNA from 1 species
UGAGGAAUAUUGGUCAAUGGGCGAAAGCCUGAACCAGCCAAGUAGCUGUGCAGGAAUGACGGCCCUAUGGGUUGUAAACUGCUUUUAUGCGGGAAUAAAGUGCGGGACGUGUGGCGUUAUGCAAGUACCUUAUGAAUAAGGACCGGCUAAUUCCGUG